rnacentral:lncRNA from 1 species
GUUAAAACUAUUUGAACAUUUUGGGUAUAUAACAGCAAGAUAUAGGUCCUAAUUUCCCAAGAAUCAUGUAAUUUAGUGUUUUUUUCAUAUGGAUGUUAGAGAGAGAGUAUAAAUUAACCUGCUGUUGUAGACCCAACCAGAAAUUCCUCCAACUCUUUCCAUGGCAUUCCUCCAUCUCUUCACUUUGUCUACUCCACACCUUGCUUCCAAACUCUCAAUAUCUUCCUUGAAUGGCCCUUCCAGCCUCCUCACGUCCGACGGAUCUACUUGGAAGAACACGGGGAGCACCAGUUUCCUUAACUCGCAAAUUCUGGCCAGCUCCUCCAGGCACCACGGUGAGGAUGCAUAACUCGGCGAUAUAACAGCAACAGCCGCCGCCGAGUCCUCAAUCGCUUCGGAAAAACUCGGAGCUAUCUCAACGACCCGAUUCGUUCCAUCAUCGUCUCUAAACACUCGGAUCUCAUUGGACAAGAGGGAGUUGUAGAGAAGAUCGAUGAAAUUAUUUCUGGCAUCUUCGCCAUGGAAGCUCAGAAACACGUCCCAUUUUAGCCGGAAAGCCGCCGCUGGUGUUGACUCUGAAACGUCGUUGCUUUUCUCCAUUUCUUCUCUACAGUCUGCUAGUUUUCUCAGUGCUUAAAAGUUUUUUGCUUUGGAUACUUUUCUUGUGAUGUUUGCAGUUCCAUGUAAAAUGUUACUUUUUGAGUUUCUAGUGUAUUGUCUACUUUUC